GAUGAACGCUCGUUACAGGCUUAACACAUGCAAGUCGAGGGGCAGCAUGGUCUUAUCUUGCUAAGACUGAUGGCGACCGGCGCACGGGUGAGUAACACGUAUCCAACCUGCCGUCUACUCUUGGACAGCCUUCUGAAAGGAAGAUUAAUACAAGAUGGCAUCAUGAGUCCGCAUGUUCACAUGAUUAAAGGUAUUCCGGUAGACGAUGGGGAUGCGUUCCAUUAGAUAGUAGGCGGGGUAACGGCCCACCUAGUCUUCGAUGGAUAGGGGUUCUGAGAGGAAGGUCCCCCACAUUGGAACUGAGACACGGUCCAAACUCCUACGGGAGGCAGCAGUGAGGAAUAUUGGUCAAUGGGCGAGAGCCUGAACCAGCCAAGUAGCGUGAAGGAUGACUGCCCUAUGGGUUGUAAACUUCUUUUAUAAAGGAAUAAAGUCGGGUAUGCAUACCCGUUUGCAUGUACUUUAUGAAUAAGGAUCGGCUAACUCCGUGCCAGCAGCCGCGGUAAUACGGAAGAUCCGAGCGUUAUCCGGAUUUAUUGGGUUUAAAGGGAGCGUAGAUGGAUGUUUAAGUCAGUUGUGAAAGUUUGCGGCUCAACCGUAAAAUUGCAGUUGAUACUGGAUAUCUUGAGUGCAGUUGAGGCAGGCGGAAUUCGUGGUGUAGCGGUGAAAUGCUUAGAUAUCACGAAGAACUCCGAUUGCGAAGGCAGCCUGCUAAGCUGCAACUGACAUUGAGGCUCGAAAGUGUGGGUAUCAAACAGGAUUAGAUACCCUGGUAGUCCACACGGUAAACGAUGAAUACUCGCUGUUUGCGAUAUACUGCAAGCGGCCAAGCGAAAGCGUUAAGUAUUCCACCUGGGGAGUACGCCGGCAACGGUGAAACUCAAAGGAAUUGACGGGGGCCCGCACAAGCGGAGGAACAUGUGGUUUAAUUCGAUGAUACGCGAGGAACCUUACCCGGGCUUAAAUUGCAGAUGAAUUACGGUGAAAGCCGUAAGCCGCAAGGCAUCUGUGAAGGUGCUGCAUGGUUGUCGUCAGCUCGUGCCGUGAGGUGUCGGCUUAAGUGCCAUAACGAGCGCAACCCUUGUUGUCAGUUACUAACAGGUUCCGCUGAGGACUCUGACAAGACUGCCAUCGUAAGAUGUGAGGAAGGUGGGGAUGACGUCAAAUCAGCACGGCCCUUACGUCCGGGGCUACACACGUGUUACAAUGGGGGGUACAGAGGGCCGCUACCACGCGAGUGGAUGCCAAUCCCCAAAACCUCUCUCAGUUCGGACUGGAGUCUGCAACCCGACUCCACGAAGCUGGAUUCGCUAGUAAUCGCGCAUCAGCCACGGCGCGGUGAAUACGUUCCCGGGCCUUGUACACACCGCCCGUCAAGCCAUGGGAGCCGGGGGUACCUGAAGUGCGUAACCGCGAGGAGCGCCCUAGGGUAAAACUGGUGACUGGGGCUAAGUCG
rnacentral:rRNA from 1 species